CCAAACCUCUCCUCCACCCAGUCAUUUUUGGACAGCUGUCUCUUCCCUUGCGGAGCUUGAUUAAGAGACGUGUCUUUUCCUUUUAUCUAUUUUUCAUUUUUUUUUUAAUUCCAAUUAGGCUAAGAUACAUGUUAAGAGACUGCAAUAAUGCUGCUUUCACUUAUAGGAAUCAAGCAAGACUAUUCAAAUAGAAGCUUUCCGUGUUUUCAAGCUGUUUGUUGCAAACCAAAAGAAGCCCUCAGACAUCAUCAACGGUCUGGUGGCAAACAGAAACAAGCUUCUAAGAUUGUUGGCUGAUCACAAACUUGACAAAGAGGACGAGAACUUUGAAGCAGAUAAAGCUCAUGUGGUGAGCGGGAUCGCAAGCCUUAAGCCCGGAGAUCUUGCUUGAGCACGCACAUGUACACAGAGAAGCCCAUACCUUCUAUCUCUGUGUCUAAGCUAUUGAGUAUUGACUUGCCUGGCUCGUUUAAGAUUAUAUAAAAUCCACAUGUAGUGUCGAUAAAAUAAAAUUGCAUUAUUAUUUCAGAAGGGAAAAUAGAGGCAAAAGCCGCU